rnacentral:miRNA from 1 species
AUAUACAUACACACAUACACA